UCCAUACAGGUGGCUGGAAAUUCCACAGUCAUCUCAUUGGCCCUCAGAUGCACUUGUAAUUAAGGACCGGUUAAAUGUUGGCUGGAAACCUCUUCACUGCUUAAAGGCUUCAUUGGAACACACAGUUUCUCCUUGAGGGAGAAGAAUUGGGGGACUCGAGAGACAAGCUGGAGAGCGUGGCUGUGUAGUGAGAACAUGAGAAGCCAGAUUCUAAACCACAGAUAUCCUGCCCCAAACCCGGCCAGCCUCUGGGUUACCACAAGAACGACAGCCGAAAUGAAGCACCAGCCAGUGCAUUGCCGUGGUGACUCUGUGCUGGUCCUUGGCUUUAGGAAUGAGCACAAGUAAGCAAGCGGCAGAGAACAAACUGCUGGAACACAUUGUCACACAUUUGGUGGCUGGAAACCCUGAGAACACACUCUCUCGGAGCUCAAGAGGAAGGUGGCAGCUGGGCACUCUCUCUGAAGGCUCUAGAGAGCAACCUCUCCUGGCCUUUCCCAGAGGCUGGCGGCAUAGCUGCUGUGUCUGUUUCCGUCUUCGUAUGGCCUCCUCUCUGAUCUCAGUGUCCUCUGCUCUGGAGUACCAGUCACUGGAUAGAAGUUCCAUUCUAUAUCCAGAAGGACCUCGUCUCAGGAGUCUUAACUAAGUACACAUGCAGACACUGUCUCCAGAUUGUGAGAGGAGCUCUCGCCAUGUCUAGGGCCUUCAUGACUAUGAAGAAAGGUGGCAGACGGCAGGAGUUCCAUGACACCGGGCAACAACAGGAUAGCCAAGAGGAGUCCCCAUGAGGAUCCAUCGAGGGCAUAGCAGAAGCCAGAAGUCUCGAACCAGACCAUAACUCAUUGCAAUGAAGAUUUGUAAGUAAAGCUGCUUGGGGAAAAAGGGUAGACUGAGUGUCAGUCACAUCAUGACACACUGCAAGGGUG